UGCCUGGCGGCGAUAGCGCGGUGGUCCCACCUGACCCCAUGCCGAACUCAGAAGUGAAACGCCGUAGCGCCGAUGGUAGUGUGGGGUCUCCCCAUGCGAGAGUAGGGAACUGCCAGGCU
rnacentral:rRNA from 1 species